rnacentral:rRNA from 1 species
UACGUAGGGUCCGAGCGUUGUCCGGAAUUAUUGGGCGUAAAGGGCUCGUAGGCGGUUUGUCGCGUCGGGAGUGAAAACUCGAGGCUCAACCUCGAGCUGUCGGCGGAAACCAUCCGGCUAGAGUCCGGAAGAGGAGAGUGGAAUUCCCGGUGUAGCGGUGAAAUGCGCAGAUAUCGGGAAGAACACCUGUGGCGAAGGCGGCUCUCUGGGACGGUACUGACGCUGAGACGCGAAAUCGUGGGGAGCAAACAGG